UUGCCGUUCAUUUGUCUGGUGGUUGAGUUCGUCAGUCAUUGAAACAGUUGAGUCCUAAUUUUUGUAGUCGUACUACAAAGGAUUUUUCUCUGAUGCGAGAACUUACUUUAGUUUUCUGCAUGAAAUACAUUAUAGAUUCGUCCGCUGCAAGAUUAUGGUGCCCGAGUGUGGCCGACAGGAAAGGGAACUCGAUCGGUGCGGUGCCGGAGCUCCUCGCGUGGGGCACAGGUGCCGAUGUCAGUGCUGUGUGCCGGGGGUGGCAGGGUAGAGGCACACGGUGUGACACUGGCUGCCAGAAACCCUGCUGUCACAGCUGUGCUGGUGUGGCACGACACAGCAGAAACUGCCAGCGACUGUGUCCACAUACUGGACAUAGAGACCACCGCUGUGGACCACCUUGUCCGUUACGUGUCUGUGGUACAACUAUUGGCAGCUGCAGACAAAUAUAACCUCCAUCUCCUUAAGGAGCCUCAUAAAGACAGGUUGGUACAGGAACUGACACUGGAGAAUGUGGUGGAGUGUGCAGCAUUGCUGCUCGUGCCUGCCGGACGCUGCCGUCGAGCUGCUGGUGGGACGGAACGGAGUCAAGUUUUGAGAGAAGUUAAGAUUGAAACAAACCUUCAGUUUGAUAAAGAAAUUGAACAGCAUAAUCCUGGCACAUUGGAUCAGCGGACACAGCUGUCGGUUAAAAAUUUACAGCGAUCGGCAGAAAUUUUAUUUCCACCUGAUUUUGUCUGAGCUUACGAGAACUUACUCAAACAAUGAAAAAUCCACGAUGAAAUGUAACAGUAUUACGAAAAGGAAAGUUGUUACUCACCAUAUAGCAGAGAUGCUGAGUCGCAGAGAGGCACAACAAAAAAAGAACUGUCACAAAGCUUUCGGCCAGUAAGGCCUUUGUCAAAAAACAC